CUGACCUUUGCCUGCAGCCUUGCUCGGCCCACUGGGCUCACUCCACCCACUCAGCCUGGCAGGCUGCACUUGGCUCACAUCCUGCCCCAGAUCCCACACGUGCACAGGGACUCUGCACUCAGCCCACAGCUGGACUGGACAUGCCACGGCAGGUUUUCACGUUGGGCACCAGAGUCUAGAUGAGGGUGGAUGUGAUGGCACCUAAAAACUCAGAAAUUCCAGCAACUGCAGAGUCCCAAGGGGUGUUACAGCUCUCGCCGGGGGAAUGCUGAGAUCUGAGCUCUCACGAAAUGUUGCAGCUCUUGAAAUUCAGCCAACCAGCCAGGAGGGAAUGGCGUCAAACUGCUUCACUUCUUCAUGCCUGCAGCUAGGAGAAUGGGGGCGUGUUACAGUUCUCCCUGCUGCAUGCAGCUCAGCAGACAGGUGCAUGUCAUAGCUCUCCCCGUUGCCCUCAGCUUGGUGGACAGGGGCGUGUGGUAUCCAACGGUCUUUUUGCUAUUGGAGUUCAACAAGCAGGAGCAGGUGUUAUAGCUCUUUUUGCACCCACCAUUCUGCCGGCCCAGAUUCUUGUGACGCAACCGAGAAGAAUGAGGUGCGCGGACACCAGAGAGUAAGCAGGGGAGAGAAGAAUUUUAUUGAGCCACAGAAAAGCUCUCAACACGAAAGGGAACCCAAAGUGGAUAGUCCUCUGUGUGAGAAGGGGCCCCAAAUCAUACCUGUCUGUGAGACUGCGUCUAGGGUUUUUAUGGGCUCAGAAUGAGAGAGUGCAUGCUGAUUGGUCCAUGGGAGGGCCUGGAAAAACACCGUUCAAUUGGCUAAAAGGCAUCAAGGCCGUUCUCACUCUGGUCAUGGACUCCACCUGGAACUGGCAGCUUGGUUUUCAGGUUUCCGGCUGUCUUUGGCUUAAGAGGUCAACAAUCAGCCUUCAGAUGGUUCAAAUUAGUCAACAUAGAUCAGAGCUGAACCCCUGCCCUACAAGUGAACAUAACUUCUCCUGUGAGAAAUCACCUGGCAGCGGGCUACAAGAAUGCCCUUUACUGAAGUAAUAUAGAAAGGAAGUGAUGAAAGCAAAAGGAUAUAAAUCGUUCACUUUAUUGGAAGAAGGAGAAUCUACACACUGGUGUUUCUUAAUUGUUGCCAAAGGAAACCUAACAAAAACUCAUGGAUUCAAUGGGAGUAUUAAUAAGCCAAUCAACAGAUGGCUAAUUGUACCACUGAAAAAUGCAAAUAAAUUAAUUCUCACUUGCUCUCA